CUACGGGGUGCUGCAGUGGGGAAUAUUGCACAAUGGAGGAAACUCUGAUGCAGCAACGCCGCGUGGAGGAUGACACUUUUCGGAGCGUAAACUCCUUUUAUAUAGGAAGAAGAUGACGGUACUAUAUGAAUAAGCGCCGGCUAACUCCGUGCCAGCAGCCGCGGUAAUGCGGAGGGCGCAAGCGUUACUCGGAAUCACUGGGCGUAAAGAGCGUGUAGGCGGAUUAAAAAGUCAGAAGUGAAAUCCUAUAGCUUAACUAUAGAACUGCUUCUGAAACUCUUAAUCUAGAAUAUGGGAGAGGUAGUUGGAAUUUCUGGUGUAGGGGUAAGAUCCGUAGAGAUCAGAAGGAAUACCGAUUGCGAAGGCGAUCUACUAGAACAUUAUUGACGCUGAGACGCGAAAGCGUGGGGAGCAAACAGGAUUAGAUACCCCCGUAGUC
rnacentral:rRNA from 1 species